rnacentral:tRNA from 1 species
GACUCUGUAGUGAAAUUCAUGUUGGGUUGCAAACCCAUCGAUAUACGUUAAAUACGUAUCAGGGUCU